rnacentral:rRNA from 1 species
GGAUGAACGCUGGCGGCGUGCUUAACACAUGCAAGUCGAACGGAAAGGCCCAAGCUUGCUUGGGUACUCGAGUGGCGAACGGGUGAGUAACACGUGGGUGAUCUGCCCUGCACUUCGGGAUAAGCCUGGGAAACUGGGUCUAAUACCGGAUAGGACGAUGGUUUGGAUGCCAUUGUGGAAAGUUUUUUCGGUGUGGGAUGAGCUCGCGGCCUAUCAGCUUGUUGGUGGGGUAAUGGCCUACCAAGGCGUCGACGGGUAGCCGGCCUGAGAGGGUGUACGGCCACAUUGGGACUGAGAUACGGCCCAGACUCCUACGGGAGGCAGCAGUGGGGAAUAUUGCACAAUGGGCGCAAGCCUGAUGCAGCGACGCCGCGUGGGGGAUGACGGCCUUCGGGUUGUAAACUCCUUUCGCUAGGGACGAAGCGUUUUUGUGACGGUACCUGGAGAAGAAGCACCGGCUAACUACGUG